UUGUUAUAGGUCCAUUCAGAUUGUCUAUUUCUUCUUGAGUUUGUUUUAGUGAUUUUCUUCUUUCUAAGAAUUUGUCCAUUCCAUCUAAAUUAUCUAAUUAGUUGGCAUACAAUUGUUCAUAUAUUCCUUUAUAAUCCUUUUUAUCUCUAUAAGGUCAGUAAUCUUCCCACUUU